GCCGGUGUAGCUCAGUUGGUUAGAGCGCGGGACUCAUAAGCCCGAGGUCGUAGGUUCAAUCCCUGCCACCGGUACCA
rnacentral:tRNA from 1 species